rnacentral:pre_miRNA from 1 species
AGUGAAAUUGUUGCAUCAAAUGGUAACUAAGUUGGAUUUUUGAAGAAGUGUCAGGCUGUUAUUUAAAGUACUUGGGCCAUUUUACAUUCCCACUAGCAAU